rnacentral:lncRNA from 10 species
AGAAAAAAACCUUCAGACCAGCUGAACUCUCUUUUGCGAUCAUUUCAGUCCUUUUUCCUUUUCUCACUUCAGAAUUGGAACCAUUAUCAUGAAUUGGAUGAAAAUUUUGACCUUUGAGUUUUUAUAAAAGUUUUGCCAAGAAAGUUUCUAUAACCAACUUAUACUGCUGUUCUGUUUGUUUUACAAAUUAAUAGGAAUAAAAUAAAUGUUGUGCGUCAUUCUGAAUACUUGUAAUUUUCACUCAAGAUUAUUUUUGAAAUCUGUUCAUGCAGAAACAUUUAUCUUCAAUUGUUCUACAGCAAGAGUCAGCAAACAUUUUCUGCAAAGGGCCAGAUCAUAAAUAUUUUAGGCUUUGUGAGCUACAUAGUCUCUGUCACAACUACUCAAUUCUGCCGUUAUGGCAUAAGAGCAGCCAUAGGCUAUAAGGCAAAUGAAGAAGCAUGUUUGUCCUCCAAUAAAACUUUAUUGACAAAAACAGUCAGUGGGCUCUGCUUCUUCUCUGCAGCAUUUCAUCACAAGAACAUACCAAGUUGCAUUUAUCUAUGUCUCAGCAGCUGGCCAUUUAGAUCAUUUCUAAUAUUUUGCAAUUAUAAGUCAUGAUUAAAUAAAUAUAUAUGUCUCUUUAAUAGUUAUGUAAGAAUUUCUCUUGGUGUUUACUUUAAAAAUUCCUGGUCAGGUGACCUGCAACCUCUCUUUUUGUUUCUAGGCUGUAUCCCAGUAGAAGACUCAAAGGCACCUCUGAUUGUCUCUCCAGCAUAGUAAUUCUGGAAACCAAGAUCUGUAUUUUGUUCUUUCCCAUAGGCCAUGUGCUCUAAGGGCCGAGAUACAGGACUGGCAGUAACAGUGGGUACCACACAUGGCUAAUAAGAGUGCAGAGGCUGAGGGUAUCUGAAGAAGACACUGAUUUUUGGCCAAGGUCUGGUGAAUUUGCACUCGUGGCUGCAGAAAUCAUCCUGGCGCAAAACAAGCUUUAAAUCUUUCAUUUGGGGGAAACGAUCAUGAAAGUGCCUAGAAAAUAAGUUAGCACAUGAUAUGCUUCUUUUUUUCUUUUUAUUUACUUGACUUAAGGCAAACUGUUGUAGUAAUAAGGAACAUUGUUUUCCACUUGCUCAUCUCCAGUCUCACUUUGAUUGUGUGUGGACACACUGCCCUGGCUCUCACAAGUAGCCCAUUAGCAGUCACAUCUUUGUGCAUCUGGGGCCCAGACUGCUGUUUUCUCUGCUGCUAAACAACUCUAUUUCCUUCCCUAACCUCUACCUCUUCCCCAGCAUGGAAUGAUGGUCCCUGAGUCUUUAUUUUUGUCAUGAAUUAAGGAUUCUUACCUGACUGUAUUUGCUAACUUUACAAAAUGAGAGAAUAGUGACCACCUCAAGUACAUCCGAGAACAAUUCUCCAAAUUUUAAGAAAGUAAGAAUAUGCAAUGUCAAUUAGUGGAAAACUAUACAAAUUAUUUGAUUUAUCAGAAUAGAUUUUAAAGAUGAAAAAGGCUCAGACUAAUUAAAAAUGAGCAAAAGUGUAGACACUGUACUGAAGAAGAAAUAAAGGUGCCAAAUAAACAUAUAAAAAGUUCCCCUUCAUUUAUCACUUGCAUAUUUCAAAUUAAAACAACGAGAUAUCACUAUAUACCUUUAGAAUAGCUAAAAUUAAAACAACAGCAGCAACAACAACAACAAAACCCUGAUAAUACUAACUGAUGGCAAUGAUGUGGAACAAGAGGAACUCUCAUUCAUUGCUAGUGUAAAUGAGAAGUGGUACAGCCACUUUGGAACACAGUUUGGAAGUUUCUUGUAAAGCUAUACAUUGUCUUACCAUAUAAUCCAGCAAUGUAAUGCUACUAGAUAUUUACUUAACUGAUUUGAAAACUUAAAAACCUCGUAUAAAUGAUUAUAGCAACUUCAUUUAUAAUCACCUCAAACUGAAAGUAACCAAGACGUCCUUCAAAGGUGAAUUGAUGAACAAACUGUAGUAUGCUCAUAUAGUGGAAACUAUUCAAGAAUGCAAAGACUGAGCUAUCAAACCUGCCAAGGUAUGGAUGAAUCUUGAAUUAAUAUUGCUAAGUGAAAGAAGCUAGUCUAAAAAGGCUACAUACUAUAUGAUUCCAAUUACAUGACUAUAUGGAAGAGGCAGAACUAUGGAGAUAGUAAACGGAUGAGUGGUUGCUAGAAGUUCCAUAGGGGAAAGGAAAAGAGUUGAGUACAUGAGCAUAAAGAAUUUUUUUAGACUGGUAAAACUAUUCCAUAUAAUAUUCUAAUGGUAGAUACUUGCCAUAAUGUAUUUGUCAAAACCCAUAGAACUUUACAGCAAAAAAGUAAUUUAUGCAAAUCUUUAAAUAUCUCUUAAGAGGUCUGGAAAUCCCAGGAUUGAAUAUAGAAUGUGGCAAAAUUAUCCCACCAUAUUACAAAUGUACGAAACAAGCUCACUGAUGGGCAUAGGAGUAAAGGUGCUGACCUAAGUAACUUUGACAAUGAGUGGAAUCUAUGAGACUAAAGGCUGAAAGAAGCACACAGAAGCACUGCACUGUGGCUGAUAAAGUUGCUGCCCAACAGGUAUGUGGAUUAAUGAUUCUGAAACCCCUAUACAUGUAUACUAGAAUUGAACAAAAACUAAAUUAAUUUAAUGUAUAUGCAUGUAGAAUUACAAAUAUAUUUUCUUGCUCUGUCAGCAGAGGGGGCCUAGAAGCAAUGAUAUUCUGGGAGCAGAGAGCCUACCUAGCCCCCAGAUUUUGGUUUCUGAUAAUUAUUCUCUAAUAAAAUGAACCAAGGUUCUUUGGAGAAGCGACUGAUUGUAGAAUGAGGACAGGAAAUAUUCGAGAUGAACUUGGAGUAAUUUGUGCUGCAAGAAAAUAAGAAAGUGCCAAAAAGUAGUUGAAAACCCCACAAUGAUGGGGUAUACCAAAGAACGUAGGAAGUAACUGAAAGGGUUCCCAGUGAAAGAAGCAUUGGAUUAUAAACAUAUGAAAUAAAAAUUCACAAACUCAUACUGAUAUAGAAAAUUAUGGAAUACAAACUAUCCAUCUGGGAACAGAUAUACACAAUGGAAUAUUAAAAUGAAGUCCUGUAACUUGUAGCAACAUAAAUGGAACUGGAAGUCAUUAUGUUAAGUGAAAUAAGCCAGGUACAAACAAAUAUGGCACGUUCUCAUUCAUAUGUGGAAGUGGAUCUCAUGGAAGCAGAGGGUAGAAUGGGGGUUAUCAGAGGUGGGAAGGGAAGCCGGGGAGAGCAGAGAUGAGGAGAAGUUGGUUAAGAGGUACAAAAAUACAGUUAGAUAGAAGAAACAAAUUCUAGUAUUAGUAGAGUAGGAUAACUAUAGUUAACAACAUUGUAUUUUAUACUUUAAAGUAGCUAGAAAAGAAGAUUCAUAAUGUUCUCAUCACAAAGAUAAAUGUUUGAAGUGAUGGAUAUUCCAAUUACCCUGAUUUGAUCAUUACACAUUGUAUACAGGUAUCAAAAUAUCACAUGUACCCCCAAAAUAUGUACAACAAUUAUAUAGCAAUAAAAAUAAGGUUAGAAAAAUAAAAGGGGGUGAGGAAAUAAAUGCCCCGUGUAGACUAAAUCCAAAUAAUUAGCAUACAUAUUCUGCCCUUAGGAAGAUGGAACUUAACUCUCCACUUUUUAAGUGUGGGCUGUGCAUGGUGGCCUCCUUCCAAAGAGUUUAGCAUGAAAAAGGGAGAAAAAACUUGUAACUUAAUAGAGGAGAAACCUGACAAACACUACCUCGCCCAGGUAGUCAAGGUUAGCAAUAGUGAUGAGUCCUGUUGAUUGUGAUGUGAUUAGAAUGGCACUUUACUUCUGUGGGCUUCCUUCCAAAAAUUCACAAUACCAAUGUAAUCGUGAGAAAAAAAAUCACACAUCCCAAGUGAGGGACAUUCUGCAAAAUUCCUGACCAGUAUUCCUCAAAACUGUCAAGGUCAUCAAAAACAAUGAAAGUCUGAGAAACUGUGGCAAGCAAGAGGAACCUAAGGCAACACGGUGACUAAUGCAUGAUGUAUGAAUAAAUAUUGACUAGCUAAUAAUAAUGCAUAGUCUUGGUUCAUUAACUGCGGUCUAUCUAUCAUAGCAAUAGAAGAUGUUAAUAAUGAGGAAAAUCGGAUGUGGGGUAUAUAUGAGAAUGCUCUGUUACCUUUCCAACUUUAGUGUAUUCUGAAAUAAAGGUUUUAUUUAAAAACAAUAAGGGUUUUAUAAAAAUUUCUAUUACUUUAAAAAGCACUGCUCCACCCUGGCUUAGCAGACCUUGUAAUGAGACCUGAAUAGGCUUUAUUUUACACAAAAGAUUAUGUACUCCAGGGAUCUGACAGAAAUUUACUAUAAAUUAUAUUUAAAUAUAUUCUCACUGUUCAAAAUCAGAAAUAAAACCAACAUGCUUCUUAAAAUGUGUUACAUAGCACAUCUCAACAUUGGAAUCAACUGAUAUGUUAUCCUGUCCCAUCUACUGGAUUCAUGUUUGUGCAGUGCUUCCUUAACCACCUCUAUAUAAGCAGAGGGUAUUGUGAUAAUGCAAGGUAAGUUGUUUAAAAAAAAAAUCACCACUUGCAUCUCCCUAUCUGUGUGAAUAUGGACUCUCUCCAAGUUAUGUAAGCAAAAGCCAUGACAGAUAUUGGCUGCAGGUUCAUUUAUCUUCAACUUUCCGGUAUAAUCUCAAUUUUGAAUUGUUUGUGUUUACUGAAACAACUUCAUGAAGUGACUUUAAAAAAUACAAUGUAAAAAUAUAUUCUAUAAUUUCAAUGUUAUAAAGUACAUUUAUAUUAAUAAAUAUUAUUGUUU